GUGAGACCGGAAGCGUGGAGGCCAGAAGCGUGGAAGAGGUCGUGUCUUCCUCAGCUGUCUAUUAUUGGUGUGAUAAAGACCAUGACCAAAAGCAACUCGGUGCCCCAGGAGGAUGUGUCACCCAGCACAUCAGCCCUAACCUUACGUGCUCAGUGUCCACACUGAUGGGCAGCUCUUGGCUGCCCAGGUUCUCCAUACUGCACAGGGAAGGAAUGUUUCCACCAUUGAGGAAGGGUCUACUGGACCUCGCUGGAAGGUAAUUUUGAGAAGAAUGGAUGACCACGCUGGCUUUACUGUUGAAGACUACAGCAGAGAGUGUGUAAAGAAGAUGCAAGGCAAACUUCAGGGACAAGACCUUCAAGUUGCAGAAAGGAAGAAACAGCAUGUUGCUGGUGUUUUGUUCACAGCUUAUCAUUUGCUACUUAAAUCAGUGGUGGUAAAUGCUAUUGAGCACAUUGGUCUGAGAUGCAGUGAUGUGACUGCAAGCUGAGGAGCUUACAAAGAGCAGCACUCACAAUUCUGGAACCUGAGAAGUUCCACAUCAAAGCUCUAGCAGAUUCAGUGUCCGGCGAGCCUUCCUCCCGGGUUUGCAGAUGGCAAGUCUGGGUUGUGUCUUCCUUCAGUAGAAGAUGCAAGGGGCUGGGGGCAGAGUUAUAGACUGAAAAAUGGCCCACUGAUCUCACUGAUAAUGGCUUCAUUCUCACAGCUGGUGUUGGUGACUAGAUUUCAGUGUAUGAAUUCUAAGCAAUGUGAAUAUAGAGAUAUCAUUGAAGCAUGGAAUUGUCAUGAAAAGGGAACCCCUGAUAUGGAAAGCUUUCAGCCAAGUGUCUGGGGACACUGGCAAGAGCAACUGCUCGCAACAUAGGGGUCUAACAUCUCUGCACUGUGCUCACCCUGCAUUGGUGGUUCAGUCUAGAGUCCAGUGGGGCAGCAAUUCCAUCAAUUCUCUUCUCUCUCUCCCACACUUGCUAAAUGGCCACAACCCAACCUGAGCUCCACCCUCAGUGCCUCGCACAUGCCCCUCCCAGUUGUCUGUCCCCAAACUGUACUCAGUGCCAGUGUUGUUGAACAAUUUGUUUCUCUUCAUCAUCUGUUCCCUGGCCUAACCAGAUAGUAUUAAUUUCCUUUCACCUCAUCAAAAGAGAAGUUGGUUUCCUCCAUAAUUUUCUCUAUUCAGUACUACUAGAUCAUGACCUGUGCUGGUUGGCUUCUGUCAACUUGACCCAAACUAGAGUCACCUGGGAAGAGGGAACAUCAGUUGAGGAAUGAUUUCCACCAGGCUGACCAAUUAUCAGGUAUGGGGACAUUUUUCAUGGUUAAUAAUCGACAUGGGAAGGCCCAGCUAACUGGGCAGGUGGUUUAGCUUGUGUAAGAAAGCAAGCUACGAAAGCCAUAGAGAACCAAGAGGUGAGCAGUACUUGGUGUCUGCUUCAGUUUCUGCCUCUGGGCUCCUGCCUGGACUUUCCCCUUCAUAAUGGACUAUACACUGUAAAGUGAAAUAAACCUUUUCCUCCCCUAAGUUGCUUUUGGUCGUGAUGUUUUUCACAGAAAAAGAAAUCUAACUAAAACACCUUUUAGUUUAAGCUUCUUUACGACCAUUAUCAUGAAGAAAAUACUAGAAUCUGUCAAAGGCCUUUUCUGUGUCUGUUGAGACACAGUGUUGAGUCAUAAUGUGAUAAGCCUUGAGCCCAUUUACAUAAUUUAUAACAUUUAUUGCUUUGCACAGAUUAAACCAUCUCUGUAUCUCUAAAAUAAAGCUAAUUUGAUCAUAAUAAGUGACAUUUUUGAAAUUCACAAACUUGAAUCCAGUUUGUAUUUUGUUUAACAUUUUUGUAUCUAUAUUCAUCAGAGGGGUUGGUGUAUAAUGUCCUUGUUGUUGUUACACGUUGUUGUACGUGUUAAUCUGGUUGGGUAUCAGGACACUACUAACUCCAUCAAGAGUUUGGCAGUGUUCCAUCCUUUCCUGUUUUAUGGAUAAGUUUGAGGACCAUGAGUCUUAGUUAUUCCCUAAAGGUCUAGUGAAAGUCACCAGUGAAUCCAUCUGGGGCCUGUUCUUUUUUAGUUGUGAGAUUUUUUUUUUUAAAUUACUGCUUUGAUCUCACUUCUUGUUAUAGAUCUGCUUAGUUUAUCUCAUCGUGGUUUAAUUUUGGUUUGUCAUCCAGAUCUAGACAAUUUCUUGAGAAGUUUUCAACUUAGUGGAGUAUUGUUUGUAAGGUGUGAUCUAGUGGUCUUCUGAACGUCACUGAUAGCUAUCACUACGGCUCCCCUUUAGUCUCUACUGGUACCAAUUUGGGCCUUCUCGCCCUUUCUCUGGUCAGCUUAGUUAAGGUUUAUGGGUCUUCUUUAUCUUUUCAAGGAACCAACUCUUUAUUUCAUUGAUCCCUUGUAUUUUGUUGUUGUUGUUGUUAGUUUCCAUUUCAUUCAUUACUACCCUCCCUGGUCUUACAUUUCUUUCCACUUGCUGAUUUGGGGUUUGGCUUGUUCUUUUUUGACAGGGCCUUCUGGUCCAUCAUUCAGUUAUUUAUUUGAGCUCUCUAUGAUUUCUUCAUGUAGACAGUAGAGCUAUAAAAUUCCCCUUUAGAACUGCUUUCAUUGUGUUCCAAAAGUUUAGGUAAAUGCAUUUUCAUUUUCAUUGAA